UUUCCCUCAGGAUAGCUGGAACUAUUACGCAGUUUUAUCAGUUAAAGCGAAUGAUUAGAGAACUCGGUGGCGCAAUGCUGUCGACCUAUUCUCAAACUUUAGGGUAUAUUUUAUCAUGCUGCAAUUUUGUCAUCUACGUGUACAAUAAUGAAACAAGGUCCA
rnacentral:ncRNA from 1 species